GAUGAAGAAACGUAGCGAAAUGCGAUACGUAAUGUGAAUUGCAGAAUUCAGUGAAUCAUCGAAUCUUUGAACGCAUAUUGCGCUCUCUGGUAUUCCGGAGAGCAUGCUUGUUUGAGUAUCAGUAAACACCUCAACUCCCCUUUCUUUUUUUGAAAUGGGAGCUGGACUUGAGUGAUCCCAACGCUUUUCUCACCGAAAAGUGGCGGGUUACUUGAAAUGCAGGUGCAGCUGGACUUUUCUCUGAGCUAAAAGCAUAUCUAUUUAGUCUGCCUAAAAAACAGAUUAUUACCUUUGCUGCAGCUAACAUAAAGGAGAUUAGUUCUUGUGCUGACUGAUGCAGGAUUCACAGAGACAGCUUCGGCUGGCCUUUGUAAACUCGAUCUCAAAUCAAGUAAGACUACCCGCUGAACUUAAGCAUAUCAAUAAGCGGAGGA
rnacentral:misc_RNA from 1 species